rnacentral:rRNA from 1 species
AUUGAACGCUGGCGGCAUGCCUUACACAUGCAAGUCGAACGGCAGCACGGGUGCUUGCACCUGGUGGCGAGUGGCGAACGGGUGAGUAAUACAUCGGAACAUGUCCUGUAGUGGGGGAUAGCCCGGCGAAAGCCGGAUUAAUACCGCAUACGAUCUACGGAGGAAAGCGGGGGACCUUCGGGCCUCGCGCUAUAGGGUUGGCCGAUGGCUGAUUAGCUAGUUGGUGGGGUAAAGGCCUACCAAGGCGACGAUCAGUAGCUGGUCUGAGAGGACGACCAGCCACACUGGGACUGAGACACGGCCCAGACUCCUACGGGAGGCAGCAGUGGGGAAUUUUGGACAAUGGGCGAAAGCCUGAUCCAGCCAUGCCGCGUGUGUGAAGAAGGCCUUCGGGUUGUAAAGCACUUUUGUCCGGAAAGAAAUCCUUGGCCCUAAUACGGUCGGGGGAUGACGGUACCGGCAGAAUAAGCACCAGCUAACUACGUG